rnacentral:rRNA from 1 species
GACGAACCGUGCGAACGUUGUUCGGAUUCACUGGGCUUAAAGGGCGCGUAGGCGGGUGGUCAAGUCAGGGGUGAAAUCUUUCGGCUCAACCGGAAAAGUGCCUUUGAUACUGGCCAUCUCGAGGGAGGUAGGGGCAUGUGGAACUUCCGGUGGAGCGGUGAAAUGCGUAGAUAUCGGAAGGAACGCCGGUGGCGAAAGCGACGUGCUGGACCUUUUCUGACGCUGAGGCGCGAAAGCCAGGGGAGCAAACGGG